rfam:Ammonifex degensii KC4, complete genome.
GUUUCAAGCCCUCAUAGGUAGGCUACAAAC